rnacentral:rRNA from 1 species
UGCAGUCGAACGGUAACAGAUCCAGCUUGCUGGAUGCUGACGAGUGGCGCACGGGUGCGUAACGCGUAUGCAACCUACCCUUGACAGGGGGAUAGCCCAGAGAAAUUUGGAUUAAUACCCCAUAAUACUUAUUGACGGCAUCGUCGAUAUUUUAAAACUCCGGUGGUCAAGGAUGGGCAUGCGUCCCAUUAGUUAGUUGGUGAGGUAACGGCUCACCAAGGCAGCGAUGGGUAGGGGUUCUAAGAGGAUGAUCCCCCACACUGGUACUGAGACACGGACCAGACUCCUACGGGAGGCAGCAGUGAGGAAUAUUGCGCAAUGGAGGAAACUCUGACGCAGCCAUGCCGCGUGCAGGAAGACUGCCUUAUGGGUUGUAAACUGCUUUUAUAUAGGAAGAAAUGCUUUUACGUGUAAAGGUUUGACGGUACUAUAUGAAUAAGGACCGGCUAACUCCGUGCCAGCAGCCGCGGUAAUACGGAGGGUCCAAGCGUUAUCCGGAUUCAUUGGGUUUAAAGGGUGCGUAGGCGGGAUGCUAAGUCAGUGGUGAAAUCUCACAGCUCAACUGUGAAACUGCCAUUGAUACUGGUAACCUAGAGUAUGAUUGAAGUGGACGGAAUAUGGCAUGUAGCGGUGAAAUGCAUAGAGAUGCCAUAGAACACCGAUAGCGAAGGCAGUUCACUAAGUCAUAACUGACGCUGAUGCACGAAAGCGUGGGUAGCGAACAGGAUUAGAUACCCUGGUAGUCCACGCCGUAAACGAUGAUUACUCG